GACGAACGCUGGCGGCGUGCUUAACACAUGCAAGUCGAACGGGCCCGCCCCUGUUUUUGGGGGUGGGUUGAGUGGCGAACGGGUGAGUAUCACGUGAGUAACCUGCCCCCUGCUCCUGGAUAGCUGCUUGAAAGGGCGGCUAAUACGGGGUGUGCCGGCUGGUCCGCAUGGGCCUGGUCGGGAUAGUUUCAUCUUCGGGUGUUUCGGUGGGGGAUGGGCUCGCGGCCUAUCAGCUUGUUGGUGGGGUGAUGGCCCACCAAGGCGGUGACGGGUAGCCGGCCUGAGAGGGUGGGCGGCCACACUGGGACUGAGACACGGCCCAGACUCCUGCGGGAGGCAGCAGUGGGGGGUAUUGCACAAUGGGCGGAAGCCUGAUGCAGCGACGUCGCGUGAGGGAUGGAGGCCUUCGGGUUGUGAACCUCUUUCUCCGGUGGUGAAGGCCCUGUCCGUUGCGGCGGGGUUGACGGUAGCCGGGUAUGAAGCGCCGGCUAACUACGUG
rnacentral:rRNA from 1 species